rnacentral:other from 1 species
GCGGGGCUGCCCGGCCCGACAGGAGACUCAAAUUCCCCGGGGCCUUAUCGAUCUCGAAGGGAGCUGUCCCUGGUUGAGCCCGUGGGCUCUUUCAUACGGCGCCCACCUACUUGUGUAGGUUCCCGGGAUCGAAGUUCUCCAUCGGCCGCGGCGGCUCCGCC